UUUGUCCUCUUCCUUCCCGGCAUGUGAUUAGCUCUAGGUUGGGCAAUGACCCAACUUCAAGACUGACUGGAACAGCAGGGAAAGUAAAUCUUCUUAACUGGGACUGUGGGCUGUAAGGCUGACAUCAGCGUGGAGCUGCCAGAGGUAGACGGCUGGUGGAUCACAUACACAAAGACCCAAGGAUGAAGUCAACUAAACCAAGUCUGCAAUUCGAGGAACACAGCUACCUUCAACUCCUUUAUUGAAGUUUCAUUACCCAUGGAAGAUUAAACUCAUAUCACAGACUGAAAAUCAGACAUCACACGUGGAGCCCACAGGAACUUCAUCUCAGCCCACUCUCUGUUCUGUGAGCUCGCUCUCUUCCCUAAAAAUAAUUUCCAACCCCUCUAAAAGUGUCUACAGCCCCUAUUUGCCUCCCUCCUAUGAAGACAGUAGGUUCACAACAGUACCACAAAUGAAAAGGUCUAUCCAGUCUGGCGACCAGAUAAACUGGGUGUGGUAGCAAAAUUCUAAAGGUGGUUUGCCAAUGAUUUCCAUCUUGUGGUUCUUCAAUCAAACAUUAAUCUAGGUACUACUGUAUUAUUAAAUUCCCAAAUCAGCUGACCUUAAAAUAUAGAUUAUCGAGAUGACCUAAUCACAUGACUUCUUAAAAGCAGAAAAGUUAUCUCUGUCUUAUAGCAAAAGAAGUCAGAGAGACAGGAGCAUUGGGAAGAUUCAACAUGCUGUUGUUGGCUUGACCAUGGAGGACAUCAUAUGAUCAAGAAUUUGAGGGGCUAGGGAUGUAGCUCAGUGGCACCCCACUUGCCUGGCAAGUGCAAGGUCCUGAGUUCGAUCUCAGGUACAGAAAAAAAAAAAAGGAAAGAAAUUGAACCAAGCACUUGCUACCUCAUGUUAAAAUGUGCUCAUGCCCUUCUGCAGAAGUAAAACAACUUCGCCUUGUCAAGAUUUCUUGAUGUCUGAGUGCUUUAGUAUCUGCACCAACAAACUGAGUCAGGGAGCAUAUUCUCAACAAUUUUGGCACCCAACUGUGGAGCUAUAGCCCAUUAGGGCACAAGGACUCCCACCAGGAGGAAACGCAUCCCACAGCCUUGUUGCAGUGGCCUCUGGGACAAGAAACCCUGCCUAUAGGCAGAGGAUCCAAUAAAGACUUCCUGACAACACGGAAAGGGUCUGGAGGCAAAGACUGCAGUGACCAGGCAACUUCAUGCACAGACCAAGGUAAGAAAAGUCACAAGUAUGACUGAGUACUUCUUUGGUGGUUGGGUUAUUCUGUCCCUGUCUCAGGACAACCUCAGGUAAGACUGGCAAUUUAGGAUGAAAUCAAAAGUAACUAAUGGCAAGAUAUCUCAGUGCAUGCCAAAGAUUGAGCCUCAGGCUCCGGAACAAACGGAAUGGGAAAUAAAUGUGCCUCCUAGUCAGGACAAAUGAGGGAAUCAAGGAGCUCAAGGAACAAAAUACCAACUGACAGUCCUGGACUGAUGUUAAGGACUUGGGGUGAUAAUCCAUGGAUGAAAAACAAACAAACAAACAAACAAUCCAUCAUAUUUCCCCAGUCACCUUUGAAAUACCUACUUAAACACUGGCCAAUUUAAAUGGGUAUUUCUGUUUACUUGAUAUGCUUAAUACAUUUCUUGUGUUUUGUAAAUUUGUAGACUACAUUUAUAGGGUUAACUUGCUCUUCUGCUUUUUGCUCAUGUUAGGAUAGGAGUACCGAUUCAAGGUUACUUGAAAGUCUGUUGGCAGCCAGUCAAAUUUAAAAAUGUAACAAUCUAAGACAAGAAAAAGAAAGGAGAAGGACUGGAGACCCACACUGGGAAGACCCUUGGUCUUGAUUGUCUUUCUGCCCUUGAGAUAAUUAGGAUUUAAUUCUGCCAUGCAUGGAGUCACUCUUCUGUUCCUUCUCCACUGCCCUUCCCCUGAAAAAUAAUGUAAUCUACAACAGUGUUUUGUCCGAGGAAAUUUUCUUCUCUGUGACAGCUUAAUUCCAGGGCCAGGUUUCCUUCCAUGGGACCCUUGCAGAAUAAAGAUGACCUUUACUUAUCUCUGCACCAUAUUCUAAAAAAAAAAAUAUGGUCUAGAUUUAAUCCUCAAACCCUCAAAGAAUAAAUGUAAAAGUUUUAGUCCAAAUUUAUCAGCCUUUUUACCCUUAGGCAGAACUACAAGUUAACUCUUUUCACUAUCCCCUCCCUUCAAGAAUGCUGCACUACACAGGAGACUGACUGGUUUUUAGACCACAGAUAAGUUCACUGAUAGAAGAAAAGGCAUUCUUAGGGACCCUUAUAAGUUUGAUAACAGUUUUAAAUAGAAACAGGUAUUAAAGAAUACCCAUAGCCCUAGUCUCCAGAGGACUGCCUCUCUCUUGCCAUGGUUUCUCUCCAGAGCAUCUUGCUAGGUCAGCCCUCAUUCUCAGAGAUACACUAACUGAGGUUCUGAAAGAGGAAAGCCUGUAGCUAAGUAUGGUCCAAGGGUCACAGGACCAUGAAGAAGGGGCCCAGGUGUACCAUAAGAGUGGAUAACCCAGCUCUGGCCACUUCCUCGAAUAUCCAGUUCACCACUGCUGUUGCUGGAUGGGGUUAAGCCUAGGGGAUGCCUUAGAUUGGGUACAGAGCAAGAGGGAUAGACAGGGAUACCUUCUUUCCCUUUCUUCUCCUUUUAAAAUAUAUACUUAGCUCCAAAAGAGUACCACUUAGACUCUACACCCAA